CGUGCAGUUACACAAUGAAAAAGAUCCAACUUUUGUUACGGUAUGAGAUUUGAAUUUAUGGUGUUUAAUGAUUUUUCAAAAAAAAUCUUUUGGUGUGACGAAACAGAAAGAGGCUUGCAGUUGAUAAUACAGAUUGGGGUACAGUAAAGGUUCAUUCUUUGGUUUUCUUAAUAUGUUAAAUUGAAUUUCCCUAGAAAGGUAUCAAAUUUGGAACUUUUGUUCUUUGAUAUGGUAAUUGUAAUUGUUCUUCAUGAACAAUGCUAUAAUUAUAAUUGCUUACACCAAACCUAUCAAGAUAAACUAUGACUUGCAGGAUGUUGAAUUGGUUGGGAUGAGAAUUUGGUUCGUUCAGCUUUACUUGACCAUUUACCGGGUUUGUCUUGAUGUCUCAAGGAAACUUUGGAAUAACUAUUUGAGCAUUUUUGAAUGCUGGAGUAAAUUGUUAAGAGAUUGUGUUGAGCAUUCAAUGGUGAACAUAGAAAUAAUUAAUGAACAUGUGUAGCCACUCAAAAAAAUAAUGAACUGGUGCAUUGCAAAUAAGUAUUGAUUAGCUUUUAAAUCGAGUUGCAAGCAUAAAUUUUCCUUUUCUAGACGAACUUACAAAAUAAAAGAAAUAGAAGAUAGUCAGAAUGCAGGAGACCACCAAUAAGUUCAUGCAUUUGUCUAAAAUAUAUGAUUGUGGUAGUUGUUAUCCAUCCUGAGAUCAUAAAAGUUAUAUGUAUCCUAUUGUGGUCAUAAUGUGGAUUUCACCUUGAUUUUGUGAUUAAAAAAAUAUGGAUUGCACCUCAAUAUAAACGUAUAAGGGGUCGUUUGGUUUGUACCACAGAUUUCAAGCUACUAUAUAAGGUGAUUUAUAGAAUGUUGUUGGUAUAAAUCUCUGCAUAGCUAAUAUUGUUAAACUUCAGGUUUUCGGUUUCAACAGCACCCAACGUAGUGAAGAACCAACUAACUAGAGGAAAUCUUCAAGUUUUCAAUUAUCCUGACAGAUUGAUGGUGGAAGCGAACAUGGAAUUCUCUGGAACCAGUUCAAAUACUUAUACAUCCGAACUUUUAAAUCAAACAAGUUUUACGUAUCCUGUGAUGGUCGGUAGUUUAUGGACGGUGAGCUCAAUUGGUUGAACGUUUUUGUUUAAUUGUUAUUGAUUCUUGCCGUUUCUAUUCUUUUAAACCAGCAGUUUGUCAUUACUUAUAACCAAGUGUUCUGCUGUUCCUUCUUCCCAUUUGUCAUCAUCAUGUUUUCCUGUUAGUAGUUUUAGAAUACCAAACUUUUUGUAUUUGCUCACUUUUUCCCUUCACGUUUAUUUACUUCUUGCAAAGGAAAGAUUUUCCAUUAGAGGGCAUAAGGUACAUUAAGAUUCUCUUUAUGAAUUCAUAACUUAUUCAUUUCUUCAAUAUAUACAUUCAACAUUAUCCAA